rnacentral:rRNA from 1 species
GACAGAGGAUGCAAGCGUUAUCCGGAAUGAUUGGGCGUAAAGCGUCUGUAGGUGGCUUUUUAAGUCCGCCGUCAAAUCCCAGGGCUCAACCCUGGACAGGCGGUGGAAACUACCAAGCUGGAGUACGGUAGGGGCAGAGGGAAUUCCCGGUGUAGCGGUGAAAUGCGUAGAGAUCGGGAGGAACACCAGAGGCGAAGGCGGCGACCUGGACAGGUACUGACACUCAACUACGAAAGCGUGGGGAGCAAACAGG